CCUGUCCCUAGAGGUGUUGCAGGUAUAGCUGUUGUGACACAUAGAAGUCAGUAGGUAGAAGAGACAAGAGAGGCUGUGUAUUCUCAAUAUUCUGACCUGUGAACAUCUGAAUGAUUAGCUGUCUAACAUU